UACGAGUGCCCCAAGCGUUAUCCGGAAUUAUUGGGCGUAAAGGGCGUGUAGGUGGUCUUGUAAGUCUUCUGUUAAAGCUCUCGGCUUAACCGGGAACAUGCAGGGGAAACGGCAGGACUAGAGGAUACGAGAGGUGUGCGGAACUCAUGGUGUAGGGGUGAAAUCCGUUGAUAUCAUGGGGAACACCGAAAGCGAAGGCAGCACACUGGCGCACUCCUGACACUGAAACACGAAAGCGUGGGUAGCGAAUGGG
rnacentral:rRNA from 1 species